UCUUGACCUGAUGUCAGCACCCGAGUGGCUCUGAAUUUAAGUCUGGGAUGACAUCUUUUAUUUUUACAUGAAUCUCUAAACAAUUCUGUGAGCAAAGUUUCUAGCUGCUGGAUUAUUGUCUGUCUUUAUAGCAAGUUCCGGUAAACCACAAAUAUGACAAAGGAUAUCCGAUUUUAUGCUUGGAGUAUUUGGUACCUACCAGUUUCUGAUGUUUCAGGCCAGGAGUGGGGUAAAUAAGUGUGACCACUUAAAGCUGCUUGUUAACAUGGAAGACUUCUCCAUUCUACCUUAGUGAAAACAAUACACACUUGACAUGGGAGCAGAUUGGUUCUGAACUUUGGGACUGUUUGCUGGUUAUUGAAUUAUUGGUUUUUGUCAACUAG
rnacentral:lncRNA from 1 species